CAGAUGUGGCUGAGCUGAUUCAAUUGUGAGAUCCUCUGGGCAAAACUGCUGUUUCUUCUGUCUUACACAUGACUAAGAAAAUUAACAGGUUUCUGUGACAACAUAUUGCUGUGCAGGAUCAGGUGGAGUUUUACAAUGGCUCCCACAUUGGUCAUAUGUCCAAAACAAACAAUCAAACAGAAAACAACAACAACAAAAACAAACAAACAAAAACCCACAAAACAAAUCAAACAACCCCCCUAAACAAACAAACAAACAAAAACCAGCCACAAAAUGAAAUCCAGGCUUAUUGUCCAUUACCAACCAACCUUUUUCACUCCUCCUUGUACAUUCUUUUUCUAAAUACCAUCUGAUUCUAUUUCUGUAAUGAGAUAGAAUGUGCACAACGCAUUUGUUAGGCAAAGGAGUUAUAGCUCUGUAUCAGUUCUUUAAUGAAGUAUACAGGCACGAACAUUAAUUUUUUAUUUGCUAAUAGAAUAACAACUUCAAAGAUAAAACAAUAAUGAGAACUUGUCUUUAAUUAAAUGUUUCACCAAAUGGAACAGUAGGGGAAAGAAUCUUAGAGAGCCAUCAUUAAAUUUAAUGAAACUGAGCAUCUGAACUCAACUCCACCCAAGCAGCAGCAGCAAAAUGCAGCUGUGUAACUGCCAACAGUCAAGGUGUAAAAAUAGAAGAUAGUUAUUUCUCUUCUGAAGUGAACCAUAUUUUACUGUCUCUCUUUUUUUUCCAAUAAAGCCUUGUUGCGUUACAUGCUAACAUGUCAACAACAUGCAGCUACUGCAGGCCCUGACAGAGGUGACACAUUUUCCCAGCCAAUGGUGACUCUUCCAAAAAAAAAGGUGUUGCAGUAAGAAAAUCUUGAGAGGAACCAGCUGUUGUGUAUCUUCAUUUCUGCCUCCCAUACACCAAAUGCUUUGCUUGCUCCAAUGGAAAUAUCAUGGAAAUCUGUCAUCACUGUGUUGCCAAUCCAAGGGAACUUCACUUCCUUUUUCCUAAAAUUGUGACUGGCCACUGGAUAGUUCGAUUCCAGAAGGAACACCAGUUUUGCUGUCAACACAGCAGCUGCAGGUGCAGGGAUCAGUAUCUUCCCAAUGAGAAAUAAUGUGACAACCAGAACUGUUGUUUACACUGACAUUUACAACCAUAGUGACACUUUUCUAACGCUGUACUCAUACUAUAGCCAACUGUAAUCCUCACCUGGGGACCGAUUUGAGAGGAGCAGUAUGGGAAGGAAUGGGAAAAAUCCUUCUUGGUUUUUAUGUGUUAGUUCACUUCCCUCUGUAGAAGAUGGAUAAUAAAAUUCACAAGCCAUUUCGCAUUGCUGUCAAGGACUGUGCAAGGACAAAAUAGUUCUAUACAUAGUGGGACAAUCAAAUGUGACUUGAAGCAGGUUGAGGUUAGACAAAGUACCAUAUUAUCCCCCAAUAUCUUCCAUAUGCAUUAGAGUACAGUGAUAAUAACGCAUUCACUGUCCUAUUUUCUUAAUCCUCUUGCUUGUGGAGCUGUGGCGUGGGUGGAAAUCAAGAUUAAAAGAUACGAGUCUAGAUAACUGUGCAUAGCUAAGCCCUGAAAAUAUUAAUUUUUGUCUUUGAACUGUGCUAGUCAUGGUGGGGAGUAAAUUAAUGCAGGAUUAGAAACAUUAUUUUAUACAAGAUGUGAUACAGGGCCAAACUGAAGAGCCCUGUUCCCUGUUAAUUAAACCACGCAGUUCAUAUUGUACAAAAAUACUGAUUUAAGGAGCAGAACUGCAAAUUAGAAAAUAUUUUGGUCUGCUUAUGUUUCAUUUUAAUUAACUGAAGAUAUACUAAUUUGACAAGUGUUUCACAACACAGAACUUGUAAAGGGAGAGUUGAAGGUUAUGCUUCAUCUGUAGGCUAUAUUUUAAGUACAACUGCAUUAAAAAAAUCUUAAAUACCUACUCCAGCCUUAAAAUAUAAGACAUUUAAAAUACUUUACUGUAGGCUCUUUGUCAAAUAAAUGGU